UACAGAGGUGGCAAGCGUUGUUCGGAAUUACUGGGCGUAAAGGGCGCGUAGGCGGCCAUCUAAGUCAGACGUGAAAUCCCCCGGCUUAACCUGGGAACUGCGUCUGAUACUGGAAGGCUUGAGUAUGGGAGAGGGAUGUAGAAUUCCAGGUGUAGCGGUGAAAUGCGUAGAUAUCUGGAGGAAUACCGGUGGCGAAGGCGGCAGCCUGGACCAUUACUGACGCUGAGGCGCGAAAGCUAGGGGAGCAAACGGG
rnacentral:rRNA from 1 species